GGCUUCAUAGUCGAGUGGUGAGGACUCUUGCCUCUCGUCCUGGAGUCUCGGGUUCGAUUCCCGGGCGAGGAACUA